GGGAAAUACCAUGGUCAUGAAAGUGGGUUUUCUAGGGUAAAGCUCAUCCAUUGCACUUCGGGAAUGCUGACCCUAUGAUUUCCCCAAAUGUG
rnacentral:snRNA from 1 species